GACGAACGCUGGCGGCGUGCCUAAUACAUGCGAGUAGAACGCUGAAGAGAGGAGCUUGCUCUUCUUGGAUGAGUUGCGAACGGGUGAGUAACGCGUAGGUAACCUGCCUUGUAGCGGGGGAUAACUAUUGGAAACGAUAGCUAAUACCGCAUAACAAUGGAUGACACAUGUCAUUUAUUUGAAAGGGGCAAUUGCUCCACUACAAGAUGGACCUGCGUUGUAUUAGCUAGUAGGUGAGGUAAUGGCUCACCUAGGCGACGAUACAUAGCCGACCUGGGAGGGUGAUCGGCCACACUGGGACUGAGACACGGCCCAGACUCCUACGGGAGGCAGCAGUAGGGAAUCUUCGGCAAUGGGGGCAACCCUGACCGAGCAACGCCGCGUGAGUGAAGAAGGUUUUCGGAUCGUAAAGCUCUGUUGUAAGUCAAGAACGGGUGUGAGAGUGGAAAGUUCACACUGUGACGGUAGCUUACCAGAAAGGGACGGCUAACUACGUG
rnacentral:rRNA from 1 species